CUCCUCCACUCCCACAGCAACGUGUGUGUCAGGAGAGUUAGCUGCAGCCUGCACCGCACGAGGGAGAGCUCUGCCGCAGCUCUGCAUUCACUGAAACCUGUCCUGCACUGCCAUGGUCACGGUCAUUCAAAGUUGGCGUGUGUCGGAAAUAUCCCCCCCCUUCGCGCUCUGAAUAGUGUGUGCCUAUAAUGCAGCAUCCCAUCAGCUCACAGGAGCCAUGAACGUGCCACUGUAAGAAGGGGGUGUGUGUGUGUUUCUCUGUUUAUUCUUGACGUCACAGCAGUCCGACAGCAGAACCUUCCACUGUGCUGAGCGCGUGCUCCGAGCACAUGGAAACUCAUCUACUGCCUUAACGUUGGGGAUUUAUAACAUCUACGCACCUCACUUAUCCUUUUCCAAUGGAUUAUAGGAUGCACCUAUAGCUGGGGAACCGGGGCAUCUCUUGGGCAAGCGACUCCUCUUGAACUGAAACGAUCUUGUGAAACUGGUUAGCGAGCCCUCUGAAUAGCCGGCAUUUCCAGGAAAAUUCUGAAGCUAUGUCUCUGUCAGCCGUUGAACCGAUUCCAGCUGCUAGAAAAUUGGCAGCUCUGUUCCAAAGGUCUGGCACAUCAGACUCCAGCUGAAUUUCAGGCCGAACCUCUGAGGAUUAUCUUGAAAGAAGACUCCUGCGGUGGGAUUGCUGAAUCUACGUGUGGAUUUACAAUAAUGUUCAUCUCCAAAUGGGGAUUUUAUUUUGGGGUGCCCAAAGAAAAGGAUCAUUGGCAUAACAUGAAUAAAAGCUGUAGAAGUGCUAUGGUGUUCCUGUUGGCAAGAAACCCUUCCUAUGGAUAAAAUCUGAAAGAGGCUGGAAAAGAAGUCUGUUGGCCACCUGUCCUCCCAGACCUUGUAGCUAGGAGGAGAAUGUUACAGAUCUAUCCAUAGGUUUAUAUCAACGGCUGCACAACACAAGAGUUGUCCCGUACCACCGUGGAGCAUGGAUAAGAUCAACACACUAAGAAGGAUAAUUAUUUAAAAUACAGUAAAGACUGGAUUUGAAGAUGGAUGUUUAUGGAUUAUCACAGUUGACACGGCUUUUUUGCCCAAAUUGGACAUGUACAGUUUCAAUCUACUGAAAGGAACCACAUUGUAGAAGGCUCCAACGUCCUCACGAUGGGAACCUCCGGAUUCUGCCAGCAGAUGUGAUUCCCACUCCCACGCACUCUCGCCCUCAACGAUCCUGCUCAUUUCUGUCCUGUUUAACCACCUGCAACGUUUGUGUGCGGUGCAAGAUUUGGGAUCAACGGAAGAAUAAAAAGGACACUGAUACUCUUCUGUUUACUUUAUUUAUAAAUCGGAGUGGGGGUGGCCGAAUUGUUUCCAUUCCAAAGACACAAUGAAAUAUUGUCCAUAUGAAACAGAUCCACGGGCAGACAUUCAUCUGAGGAUGUUAGAGCCUUCAGUCCAGACGCCUCCUGUCUCCAUGGUGGCCGCUAGGGUAGAUAAAACACAAAUAAAGUACAAUUCCCCCUGUGAGGUGGCACCACGUGAUGGAAUAUGAUGGCCAGCUCCAUGUUUUGUUGUCAAUAAGGAAGCUGAAUUCUAAAUAAAGAUGUUCUCCUGGUCGUA